AACGAACGCUGGCGGCAUGCCUAACACAUGCAAGUCGAACGAGACCUUCGGGUCUAGUGGCGCACGGGUGCGUAACGCGUGGGAAUCUGCCCUUAGGUACGGAAUAACUCAGGGAAACUUGUGCUAAUACCGUAUGAUGUCGAGAGACCAAAGAUUUAUCGCCUAGGGAUGAGCCCGCGUAGGAUUAGCUAGUUGGUGGGGUAAAAGCCUACCAAGGCGACGAUCCUUAGCUGGUCUGAGAGGAUGAUCAGCCACACUGGGACUGAGACACGGCCCAGACUCCUACGGGAGGCAGCAGUGGGGAAUAUUGGACAAUGGGCGAAAGCCUGAUCCAGCAAUGCCGCGUGAGUGAAGAAGGCCUUCGGGUUGUAAAGCUCUUUUACCCGGGAAGAUAAUGACUGUACCGGGAGAAUAAGCCCCGGCUAACUCCGUGCCAGCAGCCGCCGUAA
rnacentral:rRNA from 1 species